GCCUUCGGGGUGUAAUGGUCAGCACGCUUGGUGCGUAUUCGGGAGGUCCGAGGUUCGAGUCUUGGCGAGGGCA
rnacentral:tRNA from 1 species